AGUAGUUCUCAUUGUUUCGAUGUGGUCAUAGGUAAAUUUGCUAAUGCUAUUUAAGAUUGACGUAUUAUUUUUAGUGAUUUUUUCCUGUGAAUGAUUUAGUUUAUUUAUAUAAUAUGAUUUAGUUUAUUUAUAUAAUAUACAUAUCCAUGAAAACUUUUUUGGUAGGUAUUUGCUUCCAAUGAGUUUACUUUUUUUAGGGUCCUAGUGAAUUUAGUUAAGACACGUACAGUCAACAGUAUGAAAGGUGGCUUAUAUUUUCCUGUUACAUAGUUUGAUCUCGUAGUGUGACAGUGCCCAUACUACUACAUGCACAAAGCGUCAUUUGGUUUAAUGGGUCCCACCAGUCUAUUUCCUCACUUCCCCAAUUCCGUAGUCUUCUCGACUUCUUCCCCAUUCUCCACUUUCGCACAGUGACAUGUUCCUCUGGCCCGAUCCCCUUUCUCAUUUCCUUAUUCGCUCUGCUCACUCCAAAAUUGCUGCUGCUGGAUAGCUCCCAUCAACUUGCUCUCUUGAUUUGCUGCCUUGAGGUCGUUCGUGCUCACCUGUAGCCACGUCCACUGCUGGUGUUUCCAGUGUGGCCAUCGACCGCGGUUGGUAUGGUUCCUCGUAUCCUAGGCUUUUGAAAGGCGGUGGAGGGAUAGUAGGCCCCAAGGAUCAACUGCAGCAAGGAGGAGGCGUGGUGAUUGACCUGCAAGGUGCCGUUGUUGUAGGUGUCCGUGCAGUUGAUUUGGGCGUGGAUAUCGUCUCCCGCAGCUUGCUUGGAUCCAGCUUGAGUGUUAGGAUGUUAGCGACGUUGUCUUCCCCAAGUGCGCAGGCCAGGCACAUCGUCGGUAUUCCCGCUCAAGGUAGCCGGCAACGUCGUCGUCAUCCUCCACGGCGUCAACAAUCUCCGUAGUUCGAAAAUAUGAUACCUGCUGGAGGUGUUGUUGUUUUUGGACGCCGGGCGGAGUUAAUACUGUAGGUUGCGACGUCGCUGGCUAGUGUUGAUCAGACAAUCCUCAAUAUUACAUACAAUGUUCUUGAAGCACAAUAUUGGUAACUGAAGUAAAGGUAAGUGUCUUACCUCUUGCUAACCUGAAAAUUCUUCUCUGGUGACUUUCACAGCACUUGUAAGCCAAGUAUCCAUUUUUGGCAUGGCUUCUUCACCAGGAUAAAAUAUUAGGCAUAACAUCUCACUAUAAAGAACUUCACAACUGCACAAAGAACUAUGCAUUGCUAGGUAGUUGACAUAUAUUUCAAGUUGCCUGAGAGCAAGUACAAUUCUUUAAAGUAGUCCAGCUGACAAAACAAUUAUUAGCUUUGGGAGUUAUCUUGAGCAUCAAACUUCUUGCAUCAAACUAUAUGGACUAUUUGCGAGUCUGACUAACAAAUACAUACAUUAGUCAAAUUAAACUUUUUGGGCAGAAAAGUAUGUGGAGUGAGAUGUCUAUCAGUACUCUAAUCUAGUAGUGAAUCAAUAGUUUUUUGUCCGAUGCAUAUGCAUAUUUUAUUUUAAUGUACCAUUGUGAUAGAAAAGAAACAUGGUGUGCUUCAUUGUCGAUACAUCAUAUUUUGGCAAUGCACAAAUCAACUUAUAUAUGUGCUAUUAAUUAGAGAACAGAGGAGUUCAAAGAAAACAAUGAAAGGGGGUAUAUGCAAAUGAUGGGUGCUAUAUCUUGUAAUGCAUAUGAACUUCUAGGUGUGCUACAGAGUAUUAUUAAUUAAAGAACAGAACAAAUCCUAGAAAAAAGGAGGAGGUUGAUGUGACAGUCACCAGUCACCUGAGAGGGGCUAGCGCAGCGCAAUUCCAAUGAAGAUGGUGGACAUGCUAGGGCACCCCAGUUCCUAUGUACUGAUUCGUCCAGUCCGACACCUGCGUCCAGCAGCCGUCCGUGCUUAUGACGGAAGAGGCCGGUGUUCAGUCCCUGGUGAAGUUCAUGGUGUACCUCUGAGUCCAAGCCGUUGCUAUGUGGAUGGAACUUCAAAAUCCAAGACAUCGUGUACGUCUGCGUCCAAGUUGUCGCUAUGUUGGAUGGAACUUCAAAAUCCAGGACAUCAUGGAGUUGUGGAGAAGAACAACGCUAGGAUUCUCUCGAGGAAGUUUUGGUGCAUGGGUGGAGCAGGAAACCCCGAUGGUAUCUUCACGGAGAUAUUUCUUUCCGGUAAAAUAUCGGUACGGAGGACAACUUCCUUUUUUUGAGUUGGGAUGUAAUUUUAGUUUUUUUCAUACCUUCCUAUGUAAGGACGUGAACGGUCUUUUUUAAAAGAUCUUCCUAUGUACGGGAUCUGAGAGAUCCGAUUCCAAUUAUUAUGGGAUUUUUAAAGAUCUUCCUGUGUAUGGGACGUGAGCGGGCGUGAAUCGCUUUUUAAAGAGCUUCCUA